GUUUCUGUAGUGUAGUGGUUAUCACGUUCGCCUCACACGCGAAAGGCCCCCGGUUCGAAACCGGGCAGAAACA
rfam:Opisthocomus hoazin contig3856, whole genome shotgun sequence.